rnacentral:rRNA from 1 species
GUGAGGAAUAUUGGUCAAUGGGCGGGAGCCUGAACCAGCCAAGUCGCGUGAAGGAAGAAGGAUCUAUGGUUCGUAAACUUCUUUUGCAGGGGAAUAAAGUGCAGGACGUGUCCUGUUUUGUAUGUACCCUGAGAAUAAGGAUCGGCUAACUCCGUGCCAGCAGCCGCGGUAAUACGGAGGAUCCGAGCGUUAUACGGAUUUAUUGGGGUUAAAGGGUGCGUAGGUGGUUUGAUAAGUCAGCGGUGAAAGUUUGCAGCUUAACUGUAAAAAUGCCGUUGAAACUGUCGGACUUGAGUGUAAAUGAGGUAGGCGGAAUGCGUGGUGUAGCGGUGAAAUGCAUAGAUAUCACGCAGAACUCCGAUUGCGAAGGCAGCUUACUAAGCUACAACUGACACUGAAGCACGAAAGCGUGGGGAUCAAACAGGAUUAGAUACCCUGGUAGUCC